rnacentral:snoRNA from 1 species
AUGCAUCNGCUGAUAGGCCAGGAACAACUCCUUUUGUUCUCUGGUUUGCACUAAGAUGCAAUAGCAAUUUCCUCGCGCUUUCUGACUGCCUGGUAAUAUGGCAGCUCCGAUUGAAUAGUGGAGAACAGUG